ACCUAAGAUGACCUGCGGCGGACCGCUCGGUCCGCCAUCGCCGAGGACGGCGACAUGGGAGGAAGCCCGGUGCGAAUCCGGCGCGGUCCCGCCACUGUGAACCCUGCGGAGCGAUCGGCCGGGUGAGUCAGGAACUCCCGUCGUCCUCACUGCCCGGG
rnacentral:sRNA from 15 species